GACGAACGCUGGCGGCGUGCUUAACACAUGCCAGUCGAACGGAAAGGCCCUGCUUUUGUGGGGUGCUCGAGUGGCGAACGGGUGAGUAACACGUGAGUAACCUGCCCUUGACUUUGGGAUAACUUCAGGAAACUGGGGCUAAUACCGGAUAGGAGCUCCUGCUGCAUGGUGGGGGUUGGAAAGUUUCGGCGGUUGGGGAUGGACUCGCGGCUUAUCAGCUUGUUGGUGGGGUAGUGGCUUACCAAGGCUUGGACGGGUAGCCGGCCUGAGAGGGAGACCGGCCCCAUGGGACUGGGGGAAGGCCCCGGAUGCUACCGGGGGCAAGGGGGGGGAAUAUUGCACAAAGGGGCGGAGGCUGGUGGCACAACGCCCGGGUCGGGAAGACCGGCUUUCGGGUGUGAACCGGUUUUGGCUUUUACCGAGGCGUGAUGACGGUAAAGGGUGAAAAAGCCACGGCUAACUACGUG
rnacentral:rRNA from 1 species